rnacentral:rRNA from 2 species
AAAUUGAAGAGUUUGAUCAUGGCUCAGAUUGAACGCUGGCGGCAGGCCUAACACAUGCAAGUCGAACGGUAACAGGAAGCAGCUUGCUGCUUCGCUGACGAGUGGCGGACGGGUGAGUAAUGUCUGGGAAACUGCCUGAUGGAGGGGGAUAACUACUGGAAACGGUAGCUAAUACCGCAUAACGUCGAAAGACCAAAGAGGGGGACCUUCGGGCCUCUUGCCAUCGGAUGUGCCCAGAUGGGAUUAGCUUGUUGGUGGGGUAA